CCGACGGGAGCUUGCUCCCUUAGGUCAGCGGCGGACGGGUGAGUAACACGUGGGUAACCUGCCUGUAAGACUGGGAUAACUCCGGGAAACCGGGGCUAAUACCGGAUGCUUGAUUGAACCGCAUGGUUCAAUUAUAAAAGGUGGCUUUCAGCUACCACUUGCAGAUGGACCCGCGGCGCAUUAGCUAGUUGGUGAGGUAACGGCUCACCAAGGCGACGAUGCGUAGCCGACCUGAGAGGGUGAUCGGCCACACUGGGACUGAGACACGGCCCAGACUCCUACGGGAGGCAGCAGUAGGGAAUCUUCCGCAAUGGACGAAAGUCUGACGGAGCAACGCCGCGUGAGUGAUGAAGGUUUUCGGAUCGUAAAACUCUGUUGUUAGGGAAGAACAAGUACCGUUCGAAUAGGGCGGUACCUUGACGGUACCUAACCAGAAAGCCACGGCUAACUACGUGCCAGCAGCCGCGGUAAUACGUAGGUGGCAAGCGUUGUCCGGAAUUAUUGGGCGUAAAGCGCGCGCAGGCGGUUUCUUAAGUCUGAUGUGAAAGCCCCCGGCUCAACCGGGGAGGGUCAUUGGAAACUGGGGAACUUGAGUGCAGAAGAGGAGAGUGGAAUUCCACGUGUAGCGGUGAAAUGCGUAGAGAUGUGGAGGAACACCAGUGGCGAAGGCGACUCUCUGGUCUGUAACUGACGCUGAGGCGCGAAAGCGUGGGGAGCGAACAGGAUUAGAUACCCUGG
rnacentral:rRNA from 1 species